rnacentral:rRNA from 1 species
UACGUAGGGACCAAGCGUUGUCCGGAUUCAUUGGGCGUAAAGAGCGUGUAGGCGGCUAUUUAAGUCCUGCGUGAAAUCUCGGGGCUCAACCCCGAGCGGUCGUGGGAAACUGGAUGGCUAGAGUGCGGGAGAGGAGAGUGGAAUUCCUGGUGUAGCGGUGGAAUGCGCAGAUAUCAGGAAGAACACCCGUGGCGAAGGCGGCUCUCUGGAACGCAACUGACGCUGAGACGCGAAAGCGUGGGGAGCAAACAGG